AUGUAGUGCAAUGGAUAGCGCGUUGGACUUGUAAAAUCCAAAUGUCGUGGGUUCGAAUCCUACCUGGGAUG
rnacentral:tRNA from 1 species